rnacentral:piRNA from 1 species
UGGCAGGAGCCUUGUAGGGUUUAGUGCCGA